UACUAGGGGUGCGAGCGUUGUCCGGAAUCACUGGGCGUAAAGAGUAUGUAGGCGGCUAUUUAAGUCAGGCGUGCAAGCCCACGGCUCAACCGUGGAAUUGCGUCUGAAACUAUUUAGCUUGAGUUCAGGAGAGGAAGGCGGAAUUCCCAGUGUAGCGGUGAAAUGCAUUGAUAUUGGGAAGAACACCGGUGGCGAAGGCGGCCUUCUGGUCUGAUACUGACGCUGAGAUACGAAAGCCAGGGGAGCGAACGGG
rnacentral:rRNA from 1 species